rnacentral:rRNA from 1 species
CAGUCGCCGCGGGAACACGGAGGGUGCAAGCGUUAUCCGGAUUUAUUGGGUUUAAAGGGUCCGUAGGCGGACUUAUAAGUCAGUGGUGAAAGCCUGUCGCUUAACGAUAGAACUGCCAUUGAUACUGUAAGUCUUGAGUAUAUUUGAGGUAGCUGGAAUAAGUAGUGUAGCGGUGAAAUGCAUAGAUAUUACUUAGAACACCAAUUGCGAAGGCAGGUCACUAAGAUUUAACUGACGCUGAUGGACGAAAGCGUGGGGAGCGAACAGGAUUAGAUACCCCAGUAGUCCCUGUCUCUUAUAC